CUCAGCGCCCUCCAGCCGCUCGGGCCCGGCGGAGGCCCACUGCACAACAGUAGCUACAGAAACUGUUAGGAUCACCAUGUCCUGCCCUUCAUUCUUCAGCUGCCCUCGGUUUUUUUGGUCUGUGAGAGACUUUCAGAAGGCUAGGGAUUGAACAGAAGAACAAGUACUAAAGUCAAACAAGCUUUAAUUUUUCAAGAGAGAGAAAACAGGCCCGAUGUUGUAUUGAAAUCAAGUAUAAUUCCUGCUUUGUGAAGGCGAUAACCUGAACUCUCAAUCUGGGAAGCAAGC